AUGUAUUGGUCGUAGAACUACAAAAUGAGUUUCAAAUUCGCGAUUUAAAGAAAGAUUUUAAGAGGUUUGUGAAUGCUGCAUGACUGUGACGUGUUUAAAUGGACUCGCGCGCUCAUUCAAACGCUGCAGCGGCGGGAGUUUCCAUGGAAACGGUGCACAACACUGUGACUGACGAACAGUAAAUCUCCGUCUCUCGCUGCUGUUUUCACUGCUUUCAGAAAUGUUUUACAGUCUUCGCAAAAGUCCGCUAGCAUCUGUUUUCAGACGAGGAGUGAUAACAUAAUCUUUCUACAAGGGAAGAGAAGCUCCAAAAUUUCUGAAGGGAGCUGCUGACAGAAAUGCAGAAAACAUAGAUUAUGAUGGCCGUGCAGCAGAGGAGCACAGAGUCUCCUUUCGGACAACAUCUCUAAGUCGCUAUGAACCAUGUGACUAAUAAGUAAAACCUCAAACAUGCAGGACACUACUGUUCAAAAGUUAGAGGAUCCUAUGUACCCAGCCUCAACCAUUCAUCAGAAGGACUGUGAAAGCGGGAACUCUCUGAACCACCAGUGGCAGUUUCCACGGGAUGAAAAAGGGCAUAGUAGUGGAUGAUGAGGUCCUGAGACCAUAUGGGGUGAGGAUCAAGACAACCAAACCAAAGGUGGACUGUAACCUACUGGACUAUAUGAUAGACUUCAUACUGACAACUACUGCCAUGUAUGCAGCAUGAAAAGUUUUUGAAAAGAGGGGCAUUUCCUUCACCAAGUAAAAGUGUGGAGGAUUCAUCUGGCCUUCGUCGGCCCCCAUGAGGUGACUCGAUGUAGAAUAAAUCAACUUGCUUUAGGCUUGAAAUGACUGAAAUCUUCUAAUGUGAGUUGAUAUCAUUUUAAACAUUCUUAAAAGUACUUCUCAUUUCUUGUGAAUGUAUUUUGUAGUAUGUGUAAAACUUUUCCAAUGAAAGAACCUUUUUUACCUUCAUUGACAUUGUAAUCAAGGUUGUUAAUGCUAUGGACUGCACACAUCUGCCUGUGUUGGGCUUGUGUUUACAGGUUGUAUAAAACUAGGCCUGGCUGCAACAACUAAUCGAUAAUUAAAAUAAUCAUCAACAAAUUUGAAUAGUGCAUCAAAACAAACAGACCGCUCAUAAUUCUGACUAAAAUACACAUUUUGCUCAAAUAUUUUUUUGUUAGAAAUUAAGUUUAAAACCCUACAUGUAACACAAGUAAUCAUAUUUAUGAGAGCAGCAACAGUAAAGGCACUAUUGUUGGAACUGUCCAUUAAUAUAAUAUAAUAUAAUUACUCUGUUCAGACGAAUGAUUGUGUUUGUUCCUCUUACCUCUUACAAGUUAACAUUGUGUUUUUUUGUUUAAAUUGUUUUAAAUUCUGUUUCAAAAUAUUUUAGGUUUAGAAUGUAAUGUUUGUAUUUUAACACUUUAAUGCUUAUAAUGUACAGCAGAGCAUAAGAUAGAUACAUUCAUUGUAUUUGUUUUCAUAGGCAGGAUGUGAAAUGACAUUCUUUAAAAUAAUGAAUUAAAAUUAUUUUAAUUAAAAAAAUAAUGUAUAUAUUUUAUUUUAAUUUUUAUUUUUGUCAUCCAAUUACUAAUAUUAAUAAAAAAAAAUCUACAAAUAAAUUGAUUAUCAAAAAAAUGUGUUAGUUGCAUGCAGCCCUACAUAAGAUAUUGUUAAAGAGGUCGGCGGUAUAAUGUUGUGUGUGAACACUAAGUCAUGUUUAUUUGUACAACAUGUAAUUAAUUUCUAUAGAGAUAAUGCAUUAUUACACUGAAACAAUUUGCUAUUUUUAUUUUGUAAAUUAGCAGAAAACCAUCUCUACCACUGCAGUGCUU